rnacentral:rRNA from 1 species
UUUUCCUACGGGACGCAGCAGUGGGGGAUAUUGCACAAUGGGGGAAACCCUGAUGCAGCGACGCCGCGUGAGCGAUGAAGUAUUUCGGUAUGUAAAGCUCUAUCAGCAGGGAAGAAAAUGACGGUACCUGACUAAGAAGCCCCGGCUAACUACGUGCCAGCAGCCGCGGUAAUACGUAGGUGGCAAGCGUUGUCCGGAUUUACUGGGUGUAAAGGGCGUGUAGCCGGGCUGACAAGUCAGAUGUGAAAUCCCGUGGCUCAACCACGGGACUGCAUUUGAAACUGUCGGUCUUGAGU